UGAGACGAAGUAAACACGUCAUGUGUGUUGCUAAUGUUGGGGCAUGUAAUAUGUAAUACAUGAACGUUUUAAUAAAUAGUCUAACAAUUUAUAGUCGUUGUACCCUAUUGUUAUAAUAUUUCUUUUUGACUGAUUACAUGUUUGUUUUAUUUGUAUAUAUCCUAGAUGGACACAUCCUUCUACACUGUAGGCAGCAGUAGACGUGAUGUAUAAUGCCAAACAUGUAACAUCAUUACACACAGUACAAGGAGUCAGACUGGCAUAUGAGGAGCAAAGGUAUGUGUAACAUAUGGGGCCCUAUCUUGCACCCAGCGCAAUUGACUUUGUCAGUGACGCAUGUAUCAUUUCGUAUUUUGCACUGGCGCACAGUGGGUUUUUCCCUCCACAGACGCACGUCGGCAAACUAGGGAAUGAACUUGCGCUCCCUGGGCGGUUCAGCGCAAAAAAGGAGGCGUGCUCCGGGGCAAACCAUCUCUUAUGCUAUUUUGCAGUUUCAAAAAACAAUUGCGCUACUAACCAAAAAAAACUAGUCUAAAGUCAGUGGCGCGUUGCGCGUGGUUCAUUAUGCUAUUUUAAGGGCGCAUGCUUGACCAUAAUGUAUAGCGUGCACAACGCGCAUUGCUUAUCUAAUCUACACAGAUGCAACAGUUAUUUUUGCAAAUCAUAAAUUGUUACAAUAAAAAUAUAAGAUAAGGGAAAUCUUUAAAUCAUAAAUUGUUACAAUAAAAAAUAUUAAUACAAGAGAUAAGGGAAAUCAUUGUGGUGAGCAUUGUGGUGAUAGUUUUUAUUUAUUUUGUGUGGCAGCGUUAAACAAUUAUCAUGCAAAUAACGAUUAAAAUAUUUUCAUAAGUUUGUUGUGUGGUUGUAUUACGUUUAUUUUAUCUAAAUAAUAAUUAAAAUGUUUUCAUAAGAAACCUUCAUGUAUGUGAACUUGAUUUGUUUGGGGUUGGACCUUGCUUGCGUUUCUUGUGUCCGAUUUCAAAGCCCCCAAACCCUUUCAGCGGUGAGGGUGGACGCAGCAAUGUCCUCCUGUGUGCCCGGCGUGCCCGAUUUAUGCUGGCAAGCUUGGGAUCCCCCCGUCUCCUGACAUCAUUGUGCUUGGCGCAGCUGAUGAGACAAUUGCGUCUAUUUCCUCUCACGCCUGUUUAACCGACGCUGAUUUGGGCGGGUUUCUCCCAUCCCCAUACAAAACAACUUCUCUGUCUUUGACUGCUCUUACAAGAACGUCGGUCUCCUCGGCUGUGAACCGCUCCUGGCGUGCGCCUGGUAAAUCCGUCAUAAUAAUAGCAACCCGCCAUGGAACUUGCGCCCUUGCGUUUAAAGGGAAUGUUGGAUAGCGUUCUGAUUGGUUUAUUUGACGUUACGCCCAAACCACACCUAUGAAUAAUGAACCUACUUCAGACCAACCCCUUAUUGAUUUGCGCCCGGCGCAAGACUUAUUUCUCCCGCCGGGAAAAUAGCAACAGCGCCCAAGAUCCGCCCACAAAGUCACUUGCGCUUUGCGCUUCGGACUUGCGUUUCAGAUCAUUAAAAUAGGGCCCAUGAUGUAUUUAGCUAGUGAUACCACUACCAGUCUUAAAUGUAUAACUGAUGAUGUCAAAGUUUUUUUCUCUGCAUAAUCAUAGAAACCCAGGCAGUAGCGUCGUUUCACAAUGUUUCCAUCACCAUUAUCAGUGGAUGACUUUGCCUUCCAUAGCCUGAGAUUUCAGAUUUGCAGCAAAAAAUGUGAUGCUGUGCAGGUUGUACCUUGCAGCCAUCCAUUACAAUGUCACCAAGCCAUAACAAAAGCAGGAGAGGGAAAGUACAAGGUUAUGUUCCCAAAAAACACAAGCAACAUACUUUAUGUGGAUGAUGUGAUCAGGCUUGUGUUUGAGGUAUUUGAAGAUAAGCUGAAGGAAACCCCGAUUCCAAUGGACCUGGCAUCACAGUUUAAAAGGCCUUCAAAGGAUUUCAUGCCAUCUUCAGUGUAGGGGUCGUCUGAAGCCAACAUACUGACCAGUCAGAUCAGGAAGCUCCAAGCGUAUCUGGAGAACAACACACGACAGGAUGAUAACCUUAUAGUGUCGUCUUAGAUAGCACCAGCUGACAAAGCUUUGAUAUGCCAUUUAUCUGUAUAGAUAGCUGAACACAAUAUGGUUACUAAAGUAUGUUUAUUUGUAUAUUGUUUAACAUUUAAAUAUAUAUUUGUAA